GGGAAUGCGGUGCCCGCCUUCGUUGAAACUUCAGCGAGGCGAGGAAUUCCGCAACUGUGCCGCAACGGUGAACCCUUACGUAGCUUAAUGCGAAGUAGGGAAAGUCCGAAUACC
rnacentral:ncRNA from 2 species